CCCUUUAAUCCUGGAUCUAUCGUUAUCUAAAUAAACUGAUACUACCGCUUCCGAUGUAUAUCAAAUCCUUUAUCCUUUCUUUUUCUGACUCUCACGCUCUCAACCAUCACUUACUCUCUCCAACCCUAAUUAGCCGUCAGGAACACCAGCUCCAGUCUCACAACAUACCAGGAGCACACCUCGAACCAUUCUAAAGUCAAGACCAUAGCACCAUUGCUUAGACCCACUUGAAACCUAACCUUUGUCUCUCUCUGGCGUUCUCUCUCUCUCUUUUCUGGUCAUCAACUAUCUCGAUCCACUCAUCGAUGACCAUCUCUUUGAAAGAAUAGUGACAUAGUAAGAGUAAGACCAGCACAACACCGCUCCACCACCGCACCUGUUGAAACCCUAACCUCACGACCACGCGACCAUCAUCACUUUUUUGUUUCCCAGGUUAUUUUGUACAUAGUGACCAAUACGUCCUUCAAUUAUGAGUUUAUCAUCUUGGAAUCACUUGAUACUUAUUUACACGUUUUAGGUAGACAAUUGGGAAGACACAAAAAGUUGGAAUACCUAUCAGAUAGGCGUUGGCUUUGAUAGUUGCAUUAAAGGAAGUACAUUUGAAUGCUAUGAGAUUGAGGUUUUCACUCCAGUUUGACAUUGUUUGUCCACUCCCUCUCCCUCUUUCUCUCUUUGGUUUAACAAAAAAACAUAUACAUACUGAACUAAGGUAUUAAAAAACCUAAUUAUCUAUGUAUUAUGAUUAUUGUGCAUUUCUUUUUAAUCUUAUAGUCUUUUGAUUGUUGAACUCUCAUUGUUCAGGGCCUACACCGAGGAAUACUAUAAUCAGUUAUGUGGAAUGGAAUAAUCAAUAUGAUGAAGGAAGGGAAGAUAGGGUAUUUUUGUGAUCCUUUUGAUCUUCUGGAUUUGCUGAUCUCUUUUUUGUGGAGUAUGCAGACUGACAUCUCUUCUGAGAACCAUUGAUAUAGAUUGAACAUAAUGGUUAAUUUUUUUCUUUUGGCCCUAAUUGUUUAUCUUUUGUAUAAGAGAUGACAAAUCGUGCUUAUUACAUCUAUUUAGCCACCUCAAUCGCCCAACUCAGGGGAUUGUAGUUACCAUCUAAACAUAAACUAUUUUCAUUGGUGGUGUACCAAAUACACAAUUAUAAUCUGUGAGCUUGGUGUGUGUGUAUCUUUGUCCCAAGGGUAGAAGACAUUUAGGUUGUUUAGUACUUCUGUGUAUGC